rnacentral:rRNA from 1 species
GAUGAAUGCUGGCGGCGUGCCUAACACGUGCAAGUCGAGCGGCAGCGAGGGGUGCUUGCACCCUGUCGGCGAGCGGCGAACGGCUGAGUAACGCGUAGGAAUUUGCCCCAAAGUGAGGAAUAACUGCCCGAAAGGGUAGCUAAUGCCGCAUAUGGUCUUCGGAUUAAAGGAUUUAUCCGCUUUGGGAGAAGCCUGCGUUGGAUUAGGUUGUUGGUAGGGUAAUGGCCUACCAAGCCGACGAUCCAUAGCUGGUCUGAGAGGAUGAUCAGCCAGACUGGAACUGAGACACGGUCCAGACUCCUACGGGAGGCAGCAGUGAGGAAUCUUCCACAAUGGGCGAAAGCCUGAUGGAGCAACGCCGCGUGAAGGAUGAAGGCCUUCGGGUUGUAAACUUCUUUUAUGAGUGAAGAAUAUGACGGUAACUCGUGAAUAAGCACCGGCUAACUACGUG